UCUAGAGAUUUGGCGGACGGGUGAGUAACACGUGAGAAGCCUGCCCUGGAGUGGGGAAUAACUCGAAGAAAUUCGAGCUAAUACCGCAUACCUUCUCUUCACCGCAUGGUGAGUUGAAGAAAGAUUUAUCGCUCUAGGAGGGUCUCGCGGCCUAUCAGCUAGUUGGUGAGGUAAUGGCUCACCAAGGCAUCGACGGGUAGCUGGUCUGAGAGGACGAUCAGCCACACUGGGACUGAGACACGGCCCAGACUCCUACGGGAGGCAGCAGUAGGGAAUCUUGCGCAAUGGGCGAAAGCCUGACACAGCAAUGCCGCGUGCGGGACGAAGGCCCUAGGGUCGUAAACCGCUUUCAGUAGGGACGAAAAUGACGGUACCUGCAGAAGAAGCUCCGGCCAACUACGUACCAGCAGCCGCGGUAAUAAUCGUCGAC
rnacentral:rRNA from 1 species